AUGGGGAGUACUCCGCGAGGUCAUGCUACUGAGCCCUCUUUGCUGGAUCCACGUCCGCUCCCUUCUGGUGCCUUACCUGCAAAUGCUGCCCCCCUGCACGUCAAGAUGUUCACCUGGCUGGCCGACCCCGACCGCUACUGGACUGCGGCGAGGCUGGCUCGCCAUGGUCUUCCUCACAAUGACAGAUGCGUUCUAUGCGACCAGGAUGCCGAGACCAUGCAGCAUAUAAUCAUCGGCGGCCCUUUCUCCAGGCAGAUUUGGCAUGAUGUCCUAUCAUGGGUGCGCGCCACCGUCCCCCCUCCCUCUGGCUUCGAAGAGUUCCUCCAAUGGCGUUCCUCGAUGAUCACGAGCUCCCCCCAUAGGACAUCACAAUGGGUUGGCCACCCCUGCAACCUUGACGGCCUGGUCCAUCUGUAA
rnacentral:rRNA from 1 species